rnacentral:rRNA from 1 species
AUUGAACGCUCGCGGCACGCCUAACACAUGCAAGUCGAACGGUAACAGGAAGAAGCUUGCUUCUUUGCUGACGAGUGGCGGACGGGUGAGUAAUGUCUGGGAAACUGCCUGAUGGAGGGGGGUAACUACUGGAAACGGUAGCUAAUACCGCAUAACGUCGCAAGACCAAAGAGGGGGACCUUCGGGCCUCUUGCCAUCGGAUGUGCCCAGAUGGGAUUAGCUAGUAGGUGGGGUAACGGCUCACCUAGGCGACGAUCCCUAGCUGGUCUGAGAGGAUGACCAGCCACACUGGAACUGAGACACGGUCCAGACUACUAAGGGAGGCAGCAGUGGGGAAUAUUGCACAAUGGGCGCAAGCCUGAUGCAGCCAUGCCGAGUGUAUGAAGAAGGCCUUCGGGUUGUAAAGUACUUUCAGCGGGGAGGAAGGGAGUAAAGUUAAUACCUUUGCUCAUUGACGUUACCCGCAGAAGAAGCACCGGCUAACUCCGUG